UAUUCUUCGAGCUGCAACACCGACGAAGGAUAUAACGUUUGAAAAAGCUAGAACGCAUGUGCAGAACCUCUUUCGUAGAAACCGAAUGUUUUCAACCGGGCAAGCAUUUCAUAGGAAAGCUUCAUCGAAGACACAAAGUGUAUUCAUCCUCACAAUAAAACAGUUCACCGAAACACCUCCACACUUUUCUGAAUCCAGCGCAACAACAUAUGGGCGCUGCAGGCACGAACGAUAGAGAGCUCUUCUUACGAAGGUUGUCCUCGAUGCACGACCCCGCACAGGACCGCGCAUCACCUGACACCGGCUGACGUGCCGCCAACUCCCAUCCGACAAUGUGCGGGAGACUAAUCUGCGGAGCUCUCCUGGUGCUGUUCAUAGCACUCACGAUAUCCAGGGGUUGCCUGCAACACAGGAAGUUCUACAACUUUUGCCACAAGAGAGAAAUGAGGUGCGAGAAUCACACGGACUGCUGCGACGGCCGGUGCAGACCAUCGCCCAUCCCACCAUACAAAAUGAAGUGUUUUUGAUGCCAAUCUGCCGCAUGGCGCGGACCGACAUUGUCGAUUGUCAUUACACGGAAUAAAGAUAUCUGUAA